GUUUAACGGCCGCGGUAUUUUGACCGUGCGAAGGUAGCGUAAUCACUUGUCUUUUAAAUGAAGACCUGUAUGAAUGGCACAACGAGGGCUAAGCUGUCUCCUUUCUCUAGUCAAUGAAAUUGAUCUACCCGUGCAGAAGCGAGUAUGUCCCCAUAAGACGAGAAGACCCUAUGGAGCUUUAGACACGGCAGACCACGUUAAUAAACUUCAUCUUAAAGCAAACAAAAUGGCCCUGUCCCCCUGUCUUUGGUUGGGGCGACCGCGGAGUAACAAGAAACCCCCACGUGGAAGGCCUCCCCUCAAGCAGAGCCACAGCUCUAACAAACAGAAAAUCUGACCAACAGAUCCGGCAAAGCCGAUCAACGGACCCAGUUACCCUAGGGAUAACAGCGCAAUCCCCUUCUAGAGCCCAUAUCGACAAGGGGGUUUACGACCUCGAUGUUGGAUCAGGACUUCCUAAUGGUGCAGCCGCUAUUAAGGG
rnacentral:rRNA from 1 species